rnacentral:rRNA from 1 species
CCUACGGGUGGCUGCAGUGGGGAAUAUUGCACAAUGGGGGAAACCCUGAUGCAGCGACGCCGCGUGAGUGAAGAAGUAUCUCGGUACGUAAAGCUCUAUCAGCAGGGAAGAAAAUGACGGUACCUGACUAAGAAGCCCCGGCUAACUACGUGCCAGCAGCCGCGGUAAUACGUAGGGGGCAAGCGUUAUCCGGAUUUACUGGGUGUAAAGGGAGCGUAGACGGCAGCACAAGUCUGGAGUGAAAUCCCGGGGCUUAACCCCGGAACUGCUUUGGAAACUGUGCGGCUGGAGUGCAGGAGGGGUAAGCGGAAUUCCUAGUGUAGCGGUGAAAUGCGUAGAUAUAUGGAAGAACACCAGUGGCGAAAGCGGCUCUCUGGUCUGUAACUGACGCUGAGGUUCGAAAGCGUGGGUAGCAAACAGGAUUAGAUACCCUUGUAGUC